GCUUAGAGAGGGGUCAAUGUCCUAUCAGCUAGUUGGUAGGGUAAUAGCCUACCAAGGCUAAGACGGGUAGCCGGCCUGAGAGGGUGGUCGGCCACACUGGGACUGAGACGCUGCCCAGACUCCUACGGGAGGCUGCAGUCGAGAAUCUUUCGCAAUGCCCGAAAGGGUGACGAAGCGACGCCGCGUGUGGGAAGAAGGCCUUCGGGUUGUAAACCACUGUCGGGAGUUAAGAAAUGUAAGGGUGUUAAUAGCAUCCUUACUUGACUAAGGCUCCGGAGGAAGCCACGGCUAACUCUGUGCCAGCAGCCGCGGUAAUACAGAGGCGGCAAGCGUUGUUCGGAAUUAUUGGGCGUAAAGAGCACGUAGGCGGCCUUGUAAGUCAGUUGUGAAAGCCUUCUGCUCAACGGAAGAACAGCAUCUGAUACUGCAAGGCUAGAGUACGGAAGGG
rnacentral:rRNA from 1 species